rnacentral:rRNA from 1 species
ACGAACGCUGGCGGCGUGCCUAAUACAUGCAAGUAGAACGCUGAAGAGAGGAGCUUGCUCUUCUUGGAUGAGUUGCGAACGGGUGAGUAACGCGUAGGUAACCUGCCUUGUAGCGGGGGAUAACUAUUGGAAACGAUAGCUAAUACCGCAUAACAAUGGAUGACCCAUGUCAUUUAUUUGAAAGGGGCAAAUGCUCCACUACAAGAUGGACCUGCGUUGUAUUAGCUAGUAGGUGAGGUAACGGCUCACCUAGGCGACGAUACAUAGCCGACCUGAGAGGGUGAUCGGCCACACUGGGACUGAGACACGGCCCAGACUCCUACGGGAGGCAGCAGUAGGGAAUCUUCGGCAAUGGGGGCAACCCUGACCGAGCAACGCCGCGUGAGUGAAGAAGGUUUUCGGAUCGUAAAGCUCUGUUGUAAGUCAAGAACGAGUGUGAGAGUGGAAAGUUCACACUGUGACGGUAGCUUACCAGAAAGGGACGGCUAACUACGUGCCAGCAGCCGCGGUAAUACGUAGGUCCCGAGCGUUGUCCGGAUUUAUUGGGCGUAAAGCGAGCGCAGGCGGUUUGAUAAGUCUGAAGUUAAAGGCUGUGGCUCAACCAUAGUUCGCUUUGGAAACUGUCAAACUUGAGUGCAGAAGGGGAGAGUGGAAUUCCAUGUGUAGCGGUGAAAUGCGUAGAUAUAUGGAGGAACACCGGUGGCGAAAGCGGCUCUCUGGUCUGUAACUGACGCUGAGGCUCGAAAGCGUGGGGAGCGAACAGGAUUAGAUACCCUGGUAGUCCACGCCGUAAACGAUGAGUGCUAGGUGUUGGAUCCUUUCCGGGAUUCAGUGCCGCAGCUAACGCAUUAAGCACUCCGCCUGGGGAGUACGACCGCAAGGUUGAAACUCAAAGGAAUUGACGGGGGCCCGCACAAGCGGUGGAGCAUGUGGUUUAAUUCGAAGCAACGCGAAGAACCUUACCAGGUCUUGACAUCCCGAUGCUAUUUCUAGAGAUAGAAAGUUACUUCGGUACAUCGGUGACAGGUGGUGCAUGGUUGUCGUCAGCUCGUGUCGUGAGAUGUUGGGUUAAGUCCCGCAACGAGCGCAACCCCUAUUGUUAGUUGCCAUCAUUCAGUUGGGCACUCUAGCGAGACUGCCGGUAAUAAACCGGAGGAAGGUGGGGAUGACGUCAAAUCAUCAUGCCCCUUAUGACCUGGGCUACACACGUGCUACAAUGGUUGGUACAACGAGUUGCGAGUCGGUGACGGCAAGCUAAUCUCUUAAAGCCAAUCUCAGUUCGGAUUGUAGGCUGCAACUCGCCUACAUGAAGUCGGAAUCGCUAGUAAUCGCGGAUCAGCACGCCGCGGUGAAUACGUUCCCGGGCCUUGUACACACCGCCCGUCACACCACGAGAGUUUGUAACACCCGAAGUCGGUGAGGUAACCUUUUGGAGCCAGCCGCCUAAGGUGGGAUAGAUGAUUGGGGUG